CAGCGUUGAGCUGUCAGCGUCAUUCCAAACGAACAAAUGAUCUGUCAAAUUCAGCCUGAGAAGAAAAAUAAAUUGCGAGUAUUGUGCUCAUUGUGAUUUUAAAAUAGCAAAAUGUUUGUAACUGUUUGUAUCCCUUUGCUCGAUUACACGCGAACUAGCGCUUGCCCGAGCAGCUGCGGAAAACUUCUCCAGAAGGGAUGAAAGGUAGUUUUGCAAACUACUGCCGAAAAGAGUUUGUCCUGCUGCUAGUCUAUUUUGCUCGGAAGCCAGCGAAUAAUCUACUGCUACUGGGAUAUGCUGGUGUCUGGUUCCGCUAUCCGGGAGUGAUUUUAUCUGAUGCUGGUUCCUUUCGAAGUAAAAUCAAUAUCGAAUUGUGAAGACAACUAUGGAAUAGUCGGAACAGUAUCCCAGUGCGUGUGAGGCUGCUAAAUCUAAGCAACAAUAAUGAAAUCUGGAAUACCUACAAAAUAGAGAUGGACGAGACCGGGCACCGGAAAGCAAAAGCUUCAGGAAGUGUUUCGGCGUAGUGAUGUUGCUGCUGCACCUGGAACUGGGAAUCUACAUACUGAGUCAGGAAAAAUACUUCAUUGUGGAUUAUUCAAACACCAAUCUCCAACAUCGUUUUCGCAUAAAAAGGAAUGAAAUCCUGCAGGCACCUGCCCAUGUCGCUAAUUCUAUAUCUUGGGAACUGGAAGAUUUUUUUAUGGAGUGAAACAGAUGUAAAUGUAGAUUGUACUGCGAGAAUACACAUGCAUUGUUGCAUAUUUUAUACUACGAGACUAUUGACCACAGUAGCUGCCCAAAAGACAUUCUUUCCGUAUGAUAUGUCCCUUGACCUGUGGAAAGCGAUCUGCGGUUGAUAUUUGAGGAAAGGUGGAUUGCGAUAUCCGGUUUGUCGUGUUGCCGAACAAUUCCAUUCUAGCUCUGAUAGUUUUAUUUAGGUGUCGUCUAUGGGCAUUCUGCAGUAUAGAAUACAAUUAGGUACAAUACAAUAUUAUGACCAGAAUCAUGAUAAGGGCUGUCCAUAUACCACGUAGACAGAUAUAGAGAGACAUGAGGUAAGCAAAAUAUAUAAACGGUUCAUAUAAAUUUUCCAAAAUUUAUAUGGGUAUUUUUUUCACGGAGGUGUAGGGAGGUUGUCGAAAUCCUUCGAAAAGAUACCAAGGUGUAUGGACAGCCCCAAAAAUGGAGGUUAAGUGCAUUAAUUGAUGGCCAAGCUCUUGUAUUCCUUUAAAAGUAUUAAAUACAUCCUAUUACAUACUUUAAUACAUUUCAUAUUAGAGUAAAUGAUGUAUUUUGACCAAUCUGCAUGUGUUUAAAAAAAUAAAAAAGAAUCUGUUCGUUAUCCAUAAAUUAAACUUUCGGUUUUACAGGAAUGGCAAAAAUGAAAUGAAUGAACAAGAGUUGGAUUAUACUGUACUAUUUAUUGUUUUCUGGAACAUCUAACCUGUCGAUCAAUAGAGUUACAUUGCCAUCGAUCUACUAUCGUACUUAUUCUUAUGAAUUUUCUUUGGCUGAUGAAUUUUCAACCGGAAAUACAAGAACCGCCUUAUUAGUUUCUUUUUUAAAUCAUGACAUUCAUUGAAAUGUGUAGCUGGAAUGUUUGCGAGUUGCGCUUCAAUUACAUCAAACACGGUAUCGUUUUCCAUAUUUUUCAACUCGCUUCUGAAUACAAUUUCCAGUUUCAAAAAAAAAGAUAAAGGUUGGUUCAUUCACGUAUACCAAUGCUUGACCUGUGAAAUCUUUAGUAAUGGUUAGUUUUGUGUAAUCCGAGAUAAAUGGUUCAGUGGCUAAGCAUUUUUCAACACUAUGUUGACAAACUGCGCCAUGCUUUGCCACUUUAUAAACGACCAUUCCAGCAAGGUGAUAGACCACAUUCUUCUCAUUGUCGUUAAUUUCCUUCAAUGCUGCCUGCGUGUCUAUCUUAGUCAGUUCGUUUAUAUCAGGUACUUUCCGCUCCUCAAUGGCUUUUUUCUCCUUCAAUUGCUUCACGUUAGAGGGAAAGUUCAAAAGCCAAUCUGUGUCGUCUGUCUCAUAAGAUGACCCGGAAACCACUGUCAAAUACUGUGAAAUGGUUAAUGAUUUUAGGAAGCAUUUGAAUUGCAAGGCGGUAGGUUUCUUCUGUCGUAUUCGAAUUAGAGAAAAGAUAUUCUCGACACAAUCUUGAGUGAAUCUCGCUGUAAAUAGGAAGCUGUACCCUUUCACGUUCAAGAACAUGUCUUGCAACCUGAGUAUGGCAUUCGUUGCUAGAAUUAUGGAUGCCUGCCAUGGUUUCCAAUACCGUUUAUGUCCUACCUCCACAGCGUAAAUGAAUUUUUUGAAAAAAAUAUAGAACUGCAGCGUCUCCUUAUACUUUUGCGAAUUUUCUAAAAUAUAAAUAAAAAAAAAAUGAGUUAAUCUAAAACAUACGAAGAGUCUAAGAAAAUGUAAUUUAGUCCUCAGAUAUAGUUUAUAGAUAUAGCCUUGGAAACUAGUAAAAAUUAGUAUGCAGAGGUUUUUGGGACAGGGAAGAUUCUUGUGAUGGUUUGUGACCGGGGAGAACUAAUCCAGCAAAUUGAACCAAAUCUGGUAUGUGGGGGUUUUAGAAGGCAAGAAAUUUUUCUAUGCUGGUAUCAGACUCCCAAAUGAAACAAAUUUCUGCAUAACUCUAGAACUAAUCAAGCAAAUUGAACCAAAUUUGGCAUGUGGGGGUUUUAGGAGGCAGGAAAUUCUUCUAUGGUGGUUUCGAAACAAAUUACGUAUUUUGUGGAUGACCCCUAGCCAAAUUAUUCUCUAUAUUAACUGAAUCAUUAAGAGUACUACAGAAUCUUUGCUCACCUUUGCUCAAAGCCAUUUUCAUCGAUCUAUUUUUCGAGAGUUGAAACCAUUGUGAUAGUGUUUCUAUGAAAUAUGCGGUUGGUAGAACUUCAGGUCGGUUUGCAGCAUGGCUGUAGAAUCGAAGUGCGGCCGAAACAUUACGGUUUACAAUUUUUUCAGAAUUGAUGACCUUCAUCACAUCAAAGUUGUUCCUUUUCUUUUCGAAUUCUACAUCCUCCGGUUUUAGAUUAUGGGCGACUUUAAGCAAGUUUUGCUGUUCGUAGUGUACGAGAUCGUGAAGGUGUUGAAUAUUGACUUCAUUCGAACAGAACCCAUUAGAUGCCACCACAUCCGGUGGUAGCCACAGCACUUCAUUUUUAAUCCAUCCUUGAACAGCCGACUUGAAAACGUGGACUACGUCUGGAAUGAUUUCCAGUUUCCUCGACGAAACUGUUGGGUGCUCGAUAGCCUCACUAUUGAGCACUACAUGUUUGUGGAAUUUCAAACCCAGAGCGUUCCACAACUUUUUAUUCUUUGGACCGCAGUCUGAGGUGAGAAAAUGCACCUUACAUCCAAAUGACUCCACUUCCUGAAUAAUUUUGAAGAUGAUCUCGUUCAGAUCAUUAUCCGGGAUACUGUUGCCCGUGAAGUGAUAACCGACGGUUUGCUUCCACCUGGCUCUUACUCCCACCAAAACAAACACAAGCGCAUGAGUUGCCAGUCCAGAUUGACCAGGGAUGGUUAUGUCACCAUAGAACUGACUGGUAGACACACAAAAGCUCUUCGCUUCUUCGAUGGACAUCUCAUCAAAAAUGAGCCCACAGUCGAGAUCUUCUGGAGGCAUUGUACUGACUUUCAGCUUCAAAAGCUCCAAUACAUCGUCCAAAAUUCCUGGGUUGAAAGACAAAUCUUCCACCUUUCGUUGCAACGUGCGUUCGGAUGGAAGAGGAUAUUUACUCCGCUGGUGCUCGUAACCCUUCGUUCCGCACACGAAUUUUGUCUUAAGGCUUUCUGUCACAGUCUCAUUACUCCACUGCCCUGGUCGUUUUUUCUGGUACAAAAGCAUGUCGACUUGAUCGGAGUUAAAUGUCCUUUUGAGAGCGUUUAGAGCCAGAUCAGUAGUUUUCGCUUGUUGUGUAAUCAAGUGCUCCUUUUGGUUGACAACUUUUUCGAGACCAUGGCAGCGCUUCUUUAAUUCGACUACUUCCCGGUUUACAUUGUUCAAGUAACUGAAAUGUUUUAUUUACGAAUCAUAAGUCCAAAUGAAACCCAUUAUGUACAAACUUUUACCUCUCAUAUUUCCUCUUUGUGCCAGCACAAACAGCUUGGUGUUCGUCAUACGGGGAGCAGUUUACUGGAAUCAUAUUUUCGAAGGACACCUCUGUGUUAACUGCCGAACCAGGUUCCUCAAUGGUACUGCUCGCAUUCGAUACGUCCGCGGUCAGGUCAUCUUCUCCGAGAGUAAAGUCGGCGAUCUGUGGAACGCAAUCGUACACUGGGACUGCCGUACGUCGCCGCAUAAUUUUUCCUUGGCCGGAAGCAAAAUAUACAUCCUCCUGCAGAAAGUGAAACUGUUUUUCGCAAAUAUUUAGUUAGCUUCUUAUGCUUCAACGAUUUUUACUUACGCUGCACACUCGACAACUAGCUGUAAUUUCGAAAUGAUCUGGGAAUCCACAGAACUUUUUCCAUGCAACUUGCAGGUCUUCAUCCGCUGGAAAUCGAAAGAACCCGAUGUUCUUGAAUCCCGGUGUUGUUUUAUUUGUGCAAUAUUUAGCAAAACACUUCAUUGUUUCGAACAAAUUCUUAUGCUUUCUCACUAAAACUAAACGCAAUAAACCACUAAAGCGACAAUCAAAGUACAACAAAAAGUAAACAAAAGCAUCAUUUCGCAAGAGCCACUUGAAGGCUUAAACUGAACCAGUGCUACCAGCUGUAAAUUUCAUUGUUGCCAAAGACAUUUAUUUUGUUCGGGAUAGAAUGUCGUCACUCUCC